GAUGAACGCUGGCGGCGUGCUUAACACAUGCAAGUCGAACGAAGCGCAAAAGGACAAUUCUUCGGAGGCGUACUUUUGCGACUGAGUGGCGGACGGGUGAGUAACGCGUGGGGAACCUGCCCUAUACAGGGGGAUAACAGUUAGAAAUGACUGCUAAUACCGCAUAAGCGCACAGAACCGCAUGGUUCGGUGUGAAAAACUGAGGUGGUAUAGGAUGGACCCGCGUCUGAUUAGCUAGUUGGUGAGGUAACGGCCCACCAAGGCGACGAUCAGUAGCCGGCCUGAGAGGGCGACCGGCCACAUUGGGACUGAGACACGGCCCAA
rnacentral:rRNA from 1 species